rnacentral:rRNA from 1 species
CUCAGUAACACGUGGCUAAUCUGCCCUUAGGACGAGAACAACCCCGGGAAACUGGGGCUAAUUCUCGAUAGGUGAAGAACUCUGGAAUGAGUCUUCGCCCAGAAAGCUUCACGUUAUGCGCGUGAGGUCGCCUAAGGAUGAGGCCGCGACCGAUCAGGUUGUUGGUGAGGUAAUGGCUCACCAAGCCUUUUACCGGUGCGGGCCGUGAGAGCGGGAGCCCGGAGAUGGGCACUGAGACAAGGGCCCAGGCCCUACGGGGCGCAGCAGUCGCGAAAACUUUGCAAUACACGAAAGUGUGACAGGGCUAUCCCGAGUGCCAUCCGCUGAGGAAGGCUUUUACCCAGUCUAGAACGCUGGGGGAAUAAGGAGAGGGCAAGUCUGGUGUCAGCCGCCGCGGUAAUACCAGCUCUUCGAGUGGUGUGGAUGUUUAUUGGGCCUAAAGCAUCCGUAGCUGGCUGAGUUAGUCCCCUGUUAAAUCCACCGAAUUAAUCGUUGGAUUGCGGGGGAUACUGCUCGGCUAGGGGACGAGAGAGGCAGACGGUAUUUCCGGGGUAGGGGUGAAAUCCUAUAAUCCCGGGAAGACCACCAGUGGCGAAGGCUGUCUGCUAGAACGCGCCCGACGGUGAGGGAUGAAAGCUGGGGGAGCGAACCGGAUUAGAUACCCGGGUAGUCCCAGCUGUAAACGAUGCAGGCUAGGUGUUUGGA